rnacentral:rRNA from 1 species
AACGAACGCUGGCGGCAGGCUUAACACAUGCAAGUCGAACGCAUCGCAAGAUGAGUGGCAGACGGGUGAGUAACGCGUGGGAACAUACCCUUUUCUACGGAAUAGCUCUGGUAAACUGGAAUUCAUACCGUAUAAGCCCUACUGGGGAAAGAUUUAUCGGGGAAGGAAUGGCCCGCGUUGCAUUAGCUAGGUGCUGGGGUAAAGGCCUAUCAAGGCGACGAUCCAUAGCUGGUAUGAGAUGAUGAUCAGCCACAUUGGGACUGAGACACGGCCCAAAUUCGUAGGGGAGGAAGCAGUGGGGAAUAUUGGACAAUGGGCGCAAGCCUGAUCCAGCCAUGCCGCGUGAGUGAUGAAGGCCUUAGGGUUGUAAGGCUCUUUAACCGAUGAAGAUAAUGACGGUAGUCGGAGAAGAAGCCCCGGCUAACUUCGUGCCAGCCGCCGCAGUAAAAC